rnacentral:rRNA from 1 species
CCCUUAGAUGUUCUGGGCCGCACGCGCGCUACACUGACGAAGUCAGCGAGCAUCUCCUACGCCGAAAGGUGCGGGGAAUCUUGUGAAACUUUGUCGUGCUGGGGAUUGAUUUUUGAAAUUCUUGAUCAUCAACGAGGAGUUCCUAGUAAGCGCAAGUCAGCAGCUUGCGUUGAUUACGUCCCUGCCCUUUGUACACACCGCCCGUCGCUACUACCGAUUGAAUGGUUUAGUGAGAUUUUUGGACUGGAACUCUCUUGUUCAGCAAUGAACGAGAGGGACUCUGGGAAGCUAUUCUAACUGUAUCAUUUAGAGGAAGUAAAAGUCGUAACA